rfam:Anaerosphaera aminiphila DSM 21120 genome assembly, contig: EJ13DRAFT_scaffold00031.31
AAGACAAAUCAGCAUAAAAGAGUACCACGGAGCACGAGAAACUUUGUGGGAAUAUGGGAGGACCACCUCCUAAGGCUAAAUACUACUUGGUGACCGAUAGUGAACGAGUACCGUGAGGGAAAGGUGAAAAGAACCCCGGGAGGGGAGUGAAAUAGAAUCUGAAACCUAAUGUUUACAAGCAGCGAAAGAGGACUUGAUCCUCGAUCGUGUACUUUUUGUAGAACGGGCCAGCGAGUUAUGAUAAUUAGCAAGGUUAAGAUAUGAAGUAUCGAAGCCGAAGCGAAAGCGAGUCUUAAUAGGGCGAAAGUUAGUUGUCAUAGACCCGAAACCGUGUGAUCUAUCCAUGGGCAGAGUGAAGUUCAAGUAAAAUUGAAUGGAGGCUCGAACCGGGUAACGUUUAAAAGUUAUCGGAUGACCUGUGGAUAGGGGUGAAAAGCCAAACGAACACGGAGAUAGCUGGUUCUCCUCGAAAUAGCUUUAGGGCUAGCCUCUAGUGAGUAUCUGAUAAGGGGGUAGAGCACUGAAUGGUUGCGGGGCGCAUAGCGUUACCAAUACCUAUCAAACUCCGAAUACCAAAUCAGACACUAGGGAGUCAGACAGUGUGGGAUGAGCUUCAUUGUCGAAAGGGAAACAGCCCAGACCACCAGCUAAGGUCCCAAAAUUAUAGUUAAGUGGGAAAGGAUGUGGAGUUACUCAGACAACUAGGAUGUUGGCUUAGAAGCAGCCAUACAUUUAAAGAGUGCGUAAUAGCUCACUAGUCAAGUGACUCUGCGCCGAAGAUAACCGGGGCUAAACUAUAUACCGAAGCUGUGGGAUGUAUUAAUACAUCGGUAGAGGAGCAAUGUGUAAGGGAUGAAGCAUAAGGUGUAAGCCAAUGUGGACUUUACAGAAGAGAGAAUGCUGGCAUGAGUAGCGAGAGGUGAGUGAGAAUCUCACCCGUCGAAAACCCAAGGAUUCCUGAGGAAGGCUCGUCCACUCAGGGUAAGUCGGGACCUAAGGCGAGGCUGAAAAGCGUAGUCGAUGGACAACAGGUUGAGAUUCCUGUACCGAUAUAUGUUGUUAAAAAGUAAGUGGGGACGCAGUAGGAUAGUAGAAGCGCCCAGUUGGUGAGGCGUGCAAGCACAAAGACUGUAGUAUAGGCAAAUCCGUACUACGUGAAGGUUGAAGUGUGAUGCGGAUCGAAAAACAAGUAGAGAAGGAUAUGACUCCACACUGCCAAGAAAAGCCACUAUCAAGAUAUAUAUCGCCCGUACCGUAAACCGACACAGGUAGGUGAGGAGAGAAUCCUAAGACGAGCGGAAGAACCUUUGUUAAGGAACUCGGCAAAAUGACCCCGUAACUUCGGGAGAAGGGGAGCCACAGCAAUGUGGCCGCAGUGAAAAGGCCCAAGCGACUGUUUACCAAAAACACAAGUCUCUGCGAAGUCGAAAGACGAAGUAUAGGGGCUGACACCUGCCCGGUGCUGGAAGGUUAAGGGGAAGAGUUAGCGCAAGCGAAGCUUAGAACUGAAGCCCCAGUAAACGGCGGCCGUAACUAUAACGGUCCUAAGGUAGCGAAAUUCCUUGUCGGGUAAGUUCCGACCCGCACGAAAGGUGUAACGAUUUGGGCACUGUCUCAACAAAGGAUCCGGUGAAAUUGUAGUAGCGGUAAAGAUGCCGCUUACCCACGACAGGACGGAAAGACCCCGUGGAGCUUUACUGUAGGUUGACAUUGGAUUUUGAGGUUAAAUGUACAGAAUAGGUGGGAGGCUAAGAAGUUAGUACGCCAGUAUUAAUGGAGCCGCCGUUUGGAUACCACUCUUUUAAGCUUAGAAUUCUAACCUACUCCCUUGAAUCAGGGAGAGGGACACUGUCAGUCGGGCAGUUUGACUGGGGCGGUCGCCUCCGAAAGAGUAACGGAGGCGUUCAAAGGUUCCCUCAGCACGGAUGGAAAUCGUGCG